rnacentral:rRNA from 1 species
AGCGGCGAACGGUCGCGUAACACGUAAGCAACCUGCCCGAGAGACCGGGACAACAGUUCGAAAGGACUGCUAAUACCGGAUGUGCCCGCUGCCUCACAUGAGGGGGUGAGUAAAUCCCGCGAGGGGCAUUUGGAGGGGCUUGCGGCCUAUCAGGUAGAUGGUGGGGUAACGGCCUACCAUGCCGACGACGGGUAGCUGGUCUGAGAGGAUGGUCAGCCGGACUGGGACUGAGAGACGGCCCAGACUCCUACGGGGGGCAGCAAUUAGGAAUCUUGCGCAAUGGGGGCAACCCUGACGCAGCGACGCCGCGUGGAGGAGGAAGGCCUUCGGGUUGUAAACUCCUUUUCCACAGGAAGAAACAAAUGACGGUACUGUGGGAAUAAGCCCCGGCUAACUCCGUGCCAGCAGCCGCGGUAAUACGGAGGGGGCGAGCGUUGUCCGAAGUUACUGGGCGUAAAGCGCGCGUAGGCGGGUCGCCAAGUCCGCUGUGAAAGCCCGGGGCUUAACCCCGGAGGGUCGGUGGA